rnacentral:lncRNA from 1 species
GGUGGCAGGUUAAUAAAUGCGACACACUGAAAUCAUUUGUACCAGAUUAUCUCUCUUUCCAAACUCUGACAGAUGCUAAGUCCAGCUGGUAAAAAAAGUUUAUAGGCGAGUUGGAUCUGGGGUCUUCACACACUCCACAAUGUUGGCGACCAAUGCUUGUUUUAAUGAGUCACGGAUUGCCUGUUUAUCUUCUGCUCCCUGCUGUUUCUGCAUUUUCUCUUCCAGAACAAUCCUAGAAACACAUGCUGCUACAGACGCUGGAGCAAUGUGUGUAGACAUUUGAGCCAAAUUAUUAUAAAGA